ensembl:lncRNA
AAACAAAGGGCAGGCAGAAAAGAUUAGCCAGGACCUCUUUCCUCACCAGAACUCUGUUGCGGGGUGGGGGGGGGGGUGUUACUUAGGAGACUGAAUAGAUGAAUAAGAGCAUGUUAGAAAAGAUUGAAUACUGAAUGUGAGGUUCUCAGAAUAGUCUAGUUGAAGUAGAAGAUGUAAAUAUGUUUCUACUAUUUUAAAGAUUUGGGUUCAAGAUUUUUUAAGGUUAGAUUUUUCCUGACUGUCAAGUAUUUGUCUCCAGGUUUUAUAGAUCUUGGUUGCUUCACUUAAAAAGAUAAUUCAGAAUGUCAGACAAGAUAUUUAACGAGAUGGUGAUGCAUCCUCUUGCUGGUUGAUACAUCAUGUUUUAUGAGACCGUAGUGGCUGAUUCCAGGAGACAACCGAGAAUCAGUAUCUCUUUUUUGGCAGUAUGAACUAAAUUUGAAUAUUUAUAUUCAUUUGUGUAUAAUGUAGCCAUCUUCACUUUAAAGACCUGGUCCAGGACCUUAAGAAAGUAUGUGUUUAUGCCUUUUAAAUAGCUUAUGUCUUUUUAAGGCUCAGCUUAUCAAGAGUUCUAGUUUGGUCCUGCUGUCUACUACUGGGAACUAUAUCUAGUCACUUAUGAUGGAGCAUAGUAAUGUGAGAAAAAAGACUGUGUAUGUGUAUGUGUGACUGGAUCACCUUGCUGUACAGAGGAAAGUUGACAGAACACUAUAAACCAGCUAUAAUGGAAAAAAAAUGUGAAAUUAAAAAAAAAAGAAUUCUAGUUUGGGGAUUUGGUUUAGAAAGAUGCUUCCUUCUGUGAACUCAUAAAAUCAUGGUUCAAAUUACUCACAGUUUGAUAAAGGCUACCUUGUCUCAUGUGGGAUCCAAACUUUGGGAGAUUCAUCGGGCUUCCUCUUGUCCCCUGUCCAAAAAGUGAAUCUCAUGUUUUAGCUGCAAAUUUUAUUUUAAAAAUUCCUGUAUGUAAAUUUCAGUAUUCACAAAGAUAAUGUUUAUAGAUCUUUGACGUUUCAUUUUCUCCAUGUUCCCCAAUAUUUCCCUUGGAUAAGCAGUUUAGUCGCUGUUACUAGUCACUCUGAUUUCUUUUAGGACCACGGAAGAGUUCAUGAGGUGUUGAUCAGGUUGUUGAAAAUUAGAUGAAGGAAGACAUAAAAAAAUGGUGGUUAAAUGACUGAUCAACCUGCUUAGCAGGAAAGUUACAUAGGAAACCCCUUAUGAUUCUAUAGUCUCAGUAAUAUUUUGAUUCUAGUACUUUGCCCCCCAACCCCAGACCUGUGUUUUGCUGGUAGUCUCAAAAGUGCGAAUUAUGGAAGUAAAUCUUCCAAAUACAAAGAAAGUUCUUAGGUGCUGGAGGCACACUUCUCUGGCAGUGGGAUCAACUGGUGCUCAGAGACGUGGGAAAGGAGCAGAAGAGAUCUCCUGCUUUGAACUUUCCCAUUUCCCAUUCCCCCUCUGCCAGCUUGGUUGUCUUGAACUUGGGACAAAUACAUGGAACUCACAUCCUGUCCCCUCUGUGUAAAAUAGGAGACUUGAACUGGGGUUCAGUGUUUGUGUGCAUGCACGACCCAGGUGGGCAUUUGUUUUUCAUUACAGUAAUUCAUUUGCUAAAAGUGAUUCCAUCCUAGUGGUUCAGUUUUGUGAUCACCUAGUCUGUUGCAUUCCUAUCUGGCAGGUGUGCAACCUGGCAUCAGCCUGAGGAGAAGCACCCUAACUCUUAGGUGGCAUCUGCCAGGAAGGUGGGAGCCAGUGCAAGUGCAAUGCAUGUACUUGUUCACAUUGCUGAUGUUUUUAUUGUGAUAAAAUAUGCAUGACAUUUGGGAGUUCCCUGGUGGCUCAGGGGGUUAAGGAGCUGGCAUAGUCACUGCUGUGGUUCAGGUUUGAUCCCUGGCCUGGGAACUUCCUUGUGCUUCAAGUGUGGCCAAAGGAGGGACACACACACACACACACACACACACACACACACACACCAUUUCCCAUUAGUGACAUUGAUCACACUGACAAUGUUAUGCAACAAUCACCUCUUUCUAGUUCCCAUUUUCAUCACCCCAUCCAUUAGGUACUUGCUCCCCAUUCUCACCUCCACCAGCCCCUCACAACCGCUAACCUGUGCUCUUUCUCUCAAUUUGCCUAUUCUGGACAUAAAGGGAAUCAUACCAUAUAUGUGGCUUCUUUCUUUUGUGUCUAGCUUCUUUCACUGAGCAUAGCAUUUUUAACCCCAGUGAUAUUUAUGCAAUGCCUGUCAUGUGCUGGGCGCCGGAAAUGCAGUGAAAGACAAAGCCAGAAGGCUUCCCUGUCCUUAUGAAUCUCAUGCCACAGUGGUAGCAUCAGACCAAAAAACCAGGAUGUAAGAAACGAAUGAUUUGGAACCAUGCUAAGUGCCACAAAAAGAUAAAUAAUGUAUUGGGCUAGUGAGUAAUGGAGGGGGUGGUUGAUACUUAAGAGGAAGGUCAUGGAGGACUUCCCCAAGGCAACACGAUGCUGAUGGAGCAUUUCAAGCAGAGAAGGAACAUGAGCUGCCUUAUCAGGUGCUUUGUGGUGUAUGGGAGCAGGACUUGCCGGUCAGGGGCUCUUCCAGGGGUUUGCAGAGGGCAGAGGUUCACAGCCAUAUCUGAGUACACAGCUGGAUGCUGCCUGUAACUCUCUGAUUUAGACUCUGCUCUCUGCCUGUGGCUAGUGUGACCCUGCGGUGUGGUCAAGCCUUGUAUGCCGAAGUUUCCAUCUUCAGCAUGCAGUCUAAACUGGACAUUGUGCCUCCCCCACAGGUCUUGUCUGGGCCUUGCUCUGACUCCUCUGGAGACCACUUGGCAUUGCCAAUAGAUUGCAGAAGAACUCAGAACUGCAUCAUGGGAAGAUGCCCAGGUUACACAGUGCCAAGUAGGCACCCAGUGGGCCCAUGUAAUCGCCAAGAGUUAGAUGUGGGUUCGCAUCUUCUGCCCACUUCUCAGGCCACUCACCUCUCAGACACCAAAGUCUGCCUUGUUAAAAUGUCAGACUUAUAGUUUCUCUAGUGGCUUAGCAGAAACGAAUCUGACUAUUAUCAUGAGGAUGCUGGUUCGAUCCCUGGCCUCACUAAAUGGGUUAAGGAUCCAGCGUUGCCCUGAGCUUCGGUGUAGGUUGCAGACGCGGCUCGGAUCUGAUAUUGCUGUGGCUGUGGUGUAAGCCAGUGGCUGCAGCUGCGAUUCAGCCCCUAGUCUGGGAACCUCCGUAUGCCAUGGCUGUGGCCCUAAAGACACCAAAAAAAAAAAAAAGUCAGACUCAUAGGAUCUCUGCUAAACUAGCUUGAUAGUCCAUUCUGACCCUGUUAGGCUAAUAGCCUCCUAGAAGAAAUACAAAAUCAGAUUGCCUUUAAGUGACUACUUAAAUGAUUGUUUAAAGCACCGCAAUAUGCAUGAAGGGCUCAUUAGCGUUAACUUAAAAUCUAGCCUCAGAAAACAUGCACUAGACAACGUGUGACUCGUAUCCCUUGGCUCUUCGUGUGGAAAUAAUGCACUUUCUCUGCCACGUAAAGUCAUCCUCAUCAAAGAUGGAAGACAUUGUGAUCAUGUAACUCCAGAUUGAUAUGGACAGGUCUGCCAAGUAUUGAGACAGUUCUAAUCAGCCCAAGGAAUUGAAGUUAUUUUCUGUGGGAACCCUGACUGUCUUCUGUUAAGUGGCACGUCUGGUGUGCUGUGAUUGACAUACUGAUGGAGUGGGGAGGUGUGGAAAUUGUAAUCCUCCGUCUCGUUGUUCCGUCUUCCUCCCUGUGACAUCCGUUUUUAACCCAUUCGCACUCCUUGAGAUGGGUUGUGAUGGUUUACAUUAGGAAAGCAAUUUCUUCAAAGUAACAUGACGAGUGACGUUAUUGCUGGCUUCAUCUUUCAAGAGUAUAAUCGGAGUAAACUCAUACAUCUUGCUUUUAACUCAGAUGGUAAAAAUGAAUAAUACAACCAGUAAAGAAGUCUAAACUUGAAAUUAGACCAUGACAUCUGUGGCUUUGGAAAAGUUAGAAUUCCCAUAAGUUAGAAUGUUAUUUUAGGUAUAAUUUAUUAAGUGCUUAUAGUGUGUUAGAUUCUAUUCUAAAUAUUUACGUAUAUCAUCGUCCUUAAUCCUCCAGGAACCCUUUUCAGUUGGGAUCAUUGGUCUCCACAUUUUAUAGGUGGGAAGAUGGAGGCUUACCCACCACUAUCAGAUGUAUCUCAGCCAAUUCUUGAGCUCUCUAUUUCAGACCAGCAAAUGCUCCUUGAUCAUUCAGAGCUAGAUGCCAUGGGAAACUUUAAAUGUAAAUGACAUAGCUUUCCUCUGAGGCACUUUAAGUAGAAAAAAGUAUUGAAGUUUUCUGUAGAAUUAAAAAAAUACACAAUGUUUUACUUAUAUAUAUAUUAAAGACAGUUGCAUGUAGAAAUAUUUAGAGACAUAUAUGUACACAGGUUAGUAUAACAUUUAUUUCUUUGCUCUGUCACCUUCAAGGGCUUAAAAGAAAUGAUACCUUGGUAGCAACAAGCAUACUUAGUGCCCAGCUCCUUGGAGAAAUGGCUGAUUCCAGGACUGGGGCAGGAAAUAUCCAGCAUGAGUCUGGAGCAUUUCGUAGUGCCAGAAAGUAGGGAAGGGCUCAAAAAGAAAG